UCCGAACCACCGAGUCCUCCGCCAUCGCUACACCACCACUACCAACGAGACCGCCGACGCCGACGGGCGGCGGGCGGCGGCGACAACGACGGCGACGACGACCACGACCACGACCACGACCACGACCACGACCACGACGCCGACGACGACGACGACGCGAUCCCGCGCGGCGUGCACCGGGACAUCUCGCGUUUCCCUCGCAAUCGCCUCUCCAGACUCUUCAGCCAAACACUGACAUUGGAAAAAAUUCUGCACGAUUCCUUCGCAUUUGUUUUCCGUUCCGAAUCUACAGAAAUUCCCCGAAAAGACUCUCACGAUACGUAGUUUCAGCGAUCUCGAGCAAACUUGACGCGCGAUGGUAUUGAUACGACCGAAGAGCUUCGCAUCAAGGUGCGCCGUCGGUGAUCGACGCAGGACGCAAAAUUUUACAUUGCACUUUUAGAACCGUUUCUAUCGUGCCGGGCGCCCGGCGCGCGGCGCUCGGCUGAUCGGAGCGACGGUCACGCGCGUGCGCGCGCGCGCGCACAGGAUAAUACUGACAGUCAGCGUGGCGAGUGAUUCUCGAUAGAGAGAGAGAGAGAGAGAGAGAGAGAGAGAGAGAGAGAGAGAGAGAGAUUUCAUCGCAUCUCGAUUCUCUACGAAAUGCAAACGCGCAGCCACCUGAACAAAUUCCCAUCGAUCCUCAUAGUUUACGGAAAAUUAAAACUCUCUGAUCCUCCAACUCAUCGGACUCAUUAUUUUUUUCCUAAACUGCAGUUCCUUCGUGCACGUAUACCUGUACAAUGAAUAUUUCAUUUGCCAAGAUUGAACAUUAAUUGAUGUUGUCAAUAACCUAUAAUCUUUAUAAACGUACUUAAAAUAAAUUUUCUUACUUGUCAUUUCCCGUCGGACGGUAUUUCUAAACAGCAGCAGAAAAAGUCUUUUGGUCAACCAACGUGAGGGAUCUACACACACGUUGAUACAAACAGUGACAAAUAUUUAUUACGUUUAUUUUGUAUUUUAGAUAUUACAAGUAUUUAAGUCACUUGUACAAUGAUAAAAUCAAAGACAAAACUUGCCACACGAAAUUUACCUUUAUGUACGUAUUAACUCUCGUACAUCACUGGCCAGUAAGUAUUUUUCUACACUGCAACCUUUAUUUUAUUAAUACAUAUUCCCUUAGAAAGUCUUGUAUUCUUACAAAAGAUGAAAUAUAAUAACAGCUGUAUUAUGAUACUAGUGGUAAAUUAUAUUUUAACACAUUUUCCAAAAUGAUGAUAUUACACACGAGCGUUUUAAUAAAACUGCCAACUCAUUCGUCCAAUCCAAGUCUAUAUAGCCACUACCUGUUAUAAAUAAAAUUAUCGAUGGCGACUCCGCGCGUAAUCUACCUGUUAUUUGUUUUGUUUUUUUUUUCUAAUUUGACCAGCAUUUUCGCACCAGGUACCCGUCGGCGCUAGCGAUCGAGCUUUGAAUGAACCAAACAGCUGACUCCGCGUAGGAAUUGGGUCGCGAACGUGCGGUUUCGAACUUUGAAUGGUAUUCGGCGUUCGGUGAGUAAUAGCGACAGGAGGCGGUUGCAGGAGGACGUGGAGGAGGGCGGGCGACCUGUCACCGACAUCACUCAGUGUCUCCCUCCUGGCGUUCACUUCGCUCGAUUUUAUGACUCUCAUCCCGCACUUUCCCCCUUUCCCCCCUUCGCCACCGUCACCGCCGCCGCCGCCGCCGCCGCCGCCGUUCCCGUGCUCGUCCUCGCGCGUCUACCGUCGUCGUCCUCUGCGCGCGUUUACACGCCGCGUUCCGCAUAAUAUCGCAAAUUGACACAUCCGCGUUCGGCAGCCAUCGAUCGACGUGGCGUGGCGGCGCCGAGUUGGUCGCCAUCGACAAAGUGGAUAAUGAAUCCUGAAUUUCCGAAUUUAUGUUGGACGUGCCUUUCUUGUAUACAAGAGAAGCAGAGACAAGACACGAGUGAGCCGUCUUUUCGCAGAUUUCACUUGGCAUUUAUUUUUAUGUGUGAGCUCGACAUUAGACAAACUUGAGUAAAAAUAUCAUCUAUUUAGAUAUUUUACAAUUAUAAAAAUAUGUGUAAUGAAAUGUACCAUUUAUGGAUAAAGAAUUUAAUAAUAUAUCAAACGCAACAAUUUUUCGCAAAAAUGUCAUUUUAAUGCAAAAGUCAAAGUUGCUUGGCACACAUCCGAGCUAUGAACGUUGAGAUGGAACGUUAGUUUCUUUUAGGUGGAGACAACUUGUUUGUUUGCAAUGUAGAUUUUUAGCAAACCGAUCCUGUAGCACCGGUAAUCACGCGGAAUGAAUCGCUUAUAUUGUAAUCCCAAAUAAAAAAAAAAUAGCACAAUUACCGACUUGCUUUUCGCAUCCUUUCUGUUCCAUACUCCUUUAAUUCGCAUUUCCAGAAAACAUUGUCAAGCUGUUAAACUUUAUCUGCAGAGUGCAAAGGAUAUUUCAAACCUGUUAUUUCAUCAUAGAUCACGAGACGAAUCCAGUUAUGUUGCCAUCUGUCUAUAGUAACAAAGGAAGAACACACACACACACACACACACACACACACACACACACACACACUCUCUCUCUCUCUCUCUCAAUCGCGCGCGCGCGCAGCCAGCCACGAGCCAUUAAAUUUCUCGUGACGCCAGAGAAUGAUCGAUUCUUACGUAAGCCCCCUGCCUGCUACGAAUUAUCUAAGUGGCCCCGCGAAAAAUUCGAUAAACGUCGCCAGAGCCGAGAAAGCUGCCACCCUCGCUACUUCUCCGUAUUCUAGUCCAUGUGCUUGACAACUACAACCUGGUAUUUAUGAAAUAAACUAGAGUACGAAAUGUAUAUAAAAAAUAAAAACAAGGUGUAUAUGCGCGUGCAACAACAAUAUAUAAUAAUCAACGAUCAAAUUACCAAAUUAUAGCUUUCCAAUUCACAUCUAAUAAUUUCCUUAUGAUUUUCUCAUUGGGAAUUAAACAUGCAUUUUUAUUUUGUAUAGACGACAGACUUUGACGAUCGUAUUUUACUCGGAGCAAUUCCAGUCCGAAUGUACGAAAAUAGAGUAACGUUAGAGUGGUAGGAACUUCGAAUGUACAUUAAUAUGCUGGGAAAGACAAUACAAUACGAUCAUGUGCGACAUAACCUGCUUACUAUUCGUGCGUAAUUCUGCGAAACAUCCCUACUGUCUCUCUUAUUGUGUUGGAAAGGGGCCUAACAAUGUCAAAGUCUAUACAAUUAAGCUGGACGGAGCCAGGAAACAUGUUUGUACCCUGAUUGUUCGCCUUUCGUGGAAGGUCACGAGCGGGAAGAUGUUCGCAAGUUUAAUUCAAACUGUUGGUCGAAACAGGGGUAGAAAUUUUCCUUUCUUUAAAAAGCACAAACAAAAUUCCCAAAAGUACCUAUCGCAAAUAAGUAUACACAUCUUCCUGUUCUCGUAACAAAUUUCUUGUAUAGAUUUUUUUAGAAUAAUCUAAAAUUGUUUUAAUAAUAGCUGUAAAAUGUAUUGUCAAAAUAUUCUGGUGAAAAAUGUAAUACUGUAUUUCAGUAAUCUUGUUUAUUUUUAAAAUCAAGUCAACUAUUAGGUUACAUGAAAUGGCUUUUUGGACAUUGUAAUGAUCACGCAUAAAUACAUUACAAGAUAUUUUACACAACAUAUUUUAUCUCCGACUGAUAUCUCAAACAGAAAAAAUAAACAUUUCAACUUAACUCGAGUUAAAAUAAUCCGCAUGUGUAAACGGACCACGAUUUAAAUAAGAUUCAAUCCUGAGAAUUUCGCAUAUGUAAUCCGUUUAACUUUCUAUUAAUCGUCAGAAUUAAAUAUUCUUCGUGAUAUAGUUGGAUUAAUUGUACACGCCAUGUAAUUUACAGCAAGCACUGUUCUGGACGAUAGAUUGCAGAGUAGCUUGUUGUAUACGGUUUAGCAAAGAUAAUUACACGUUGCCUCCAUCACGUUUAGGAAAAUGCAUGUGCUGCUGUUCGAUUCUCGCGUGAAAAUUAGUUGUGUGGAUGGCAACCAAUGUUGUUGAUCAUCAGAGCACGGAGAAUGUUCCAUAGCGAAAGAACGUACGAUAGCACGAGAGGGCCUCGGAUGCGCGUAGCAACAUUAUUGUCGAGUCUGCGAAACACAACACCGAUCCGAUUAAGGUUCUCGAAUUACUAAAUUCCCUCGUGUCCUCGGCCACUCUUGUUUUCAUGGGACCGAGCGAUACUCUCUGCACGUUUGUUUAUAGUUCUUAGAGGGACGCAAUGAAUUCCGGCGGCCGCGCGCAUCCGUGCGUUUUCUUGAGCGUUGCCACUCGUACAAUUUGAAAUAACCGUUGUCGUGAGAAAAAGGGAUCUGUUAGUAAACCUAACCUAACCACUUAAAACCGUGCGGUAACGAGCGAGAAUGCCUUAUUUGUCACGACGUGUGACUCACGCAGACUUAUUUCCUCGAUCGCUCGCAAAGAUCAUGCAAAUUGUACUACACAUCUUUCCGAGACGGGCAAAAAUUUAUAUUGUCAAAAGUCACUUGAUAAUAUAAAUAAUGUACAUGGUACAAAUACAAGAGAAUUUAAGAACGAAUUUAAUUAAAAAAUCUUGCUAGUUAAUUGAUUCGACGAUUAGUCGCGUCGUACAUACAUAUCGUAUCUAUUCCAUUAUUUCAGGGGGUUGUCAAAUAUCAAUUUGAUAAACCUCGAUCAAGAUAUACGACAUAACAUCACAAAUGCAAAAGUACAUCUAUCGUGUGGCCUAAUUCUCGGCCUCUAAACUCAAUAUGGACUAGUCAGGCAGGUAGCGAUCGGAUGUGAUUAGUAUAUAUGCUGCCACAUUCAAUUAUUCAAGUGCGAUUGCUGCUGUACUAAUAUCAAUCUACGCAAUUUAUAGUUGAGCGUGCUCAACGAAGAACGAAAGGAAGGUUUUGCCGGACGGACAUCGCAAAGUAUUGCGAGCAAGGCGAUGAGGUACCUUCGCGUAUACAUAUAUAUGCUGCGUGGCGCAUUAUAACAGACUAAGGGUGGAUAACCCGUGAUCGAUCAUCCCGGUGAAUGCGACACCCCUACGAACGCACAUCCGCGCCCCAUUAAACCGGUAGUUCGCCCUUGCGAGGUACGCGCGCGCACCUAUCACCCCCGAAUCGAACGAGAAAGUACUUUUCCCUUCGCAAGAUUGCAUCGCGCGAUCGAAAUUUCCUUUCCUCGCCGAAAAUAAAAUAUUGCAACGGCAUUCGCAUGUACACACAUGCAUUACAUAAAUAUUGAGAAAGAGCCGCUCAUCCGAUUAUGCAAUCAUUGAAAUUAAUUAGUCAGAUUAAUUUAUAUAUUCGAUAGAAGUGAUAAAUGCCGGAAGAAAUUCAAUGAUACCGUCGCGGUCUAGGAGCAACGCUUUCUACGAAAGAGAUCAAGUGAAUUUGGACGAGAGUUCGUUCGUUCGUUCGCUCUCGUGUUAGCGAUAAUAGUGAUAGACAGGCAACGAAGUUACGUGGGCGUCUUAGCGACGUGCGAGUUCUGCGCGCAGCAUAAAUUACCAUCCGAAAUGAAGGUGGAAAUCUGAUCUCGUCAUUAAGCGCCGCUACCCUCGCUUUAUGAAACUGAAAUUCUCAUUGCAUCGUCUUGCAUAUAAUCGUGUGCCGAGUACAAAAGUAAGCAUGAUAAGUGAAUAAAUGCUAUAAACCCAUAAAUGCCAUAAUAACGUCAUCUUAGAAGACGACUUGAAAUGACUUUUUGACAAAAAAGGCGAUUUAUAUAAUGUCAAACUAUUAUUUUCGUACCUUUCCAUAAAUGAUUGCGGUGGACAAUUUUAGACAAAAGAUAGCGAAACUAAAUGUGAUGUUAACCACUAAUGAUUCCAAACAGCAAUGACUUUAUUAAUUUAUUCCGUCACGUAUUACUACAUCAUAAUGACAUAUCGACUUUUAUUGUUGCAGCACAAUCAAAUGCUCAACUACUCGAUCAAAGAUAACACAAAUAUGGUAGUAAAAGGAAUAAUAUUCUGCUAUUCUCAAAAUAUGACUAGAAAUUUAUAUAUAUAAUAUAUUUUGAUGACGACACACACACACACGUUGAAAAUUAAAAUUUCCUUUUGUUUAAAUUAAAUUAAUUUUUUUAAUUAUUAAUUUCCGUACGUUCGCUUUUCACAAGAAAUGUUUCAUACAAAAAGCAUCUCGCCUUUUUGCACGUCACGUCAAAAGAAAUAUGUGAAAUAUGUAUUUUGAUCGGGUAAAAGCCUAAGAAAGAGAGAGGGGAGAUGAAGAGAAAGAGAUAGAGAACCACAGAAUAUUCUCCGACAAAUUCCAAUGUGACUAAACCCUCACAGAUGACUGGCAGGCCGGCUGUGCGCGGGAUGCAGGAGGGUUGGUUGGGGUCGCCAGGGUAUCAGAAAAGAUCUCUCCUUCUCUCCUUCGUCCUCCUGCAUCGCGACGAUUCGAGCGGUCACCGAAAAGCCUACUACACCGGUCGCAUUCACGUCGAAGAUGUUCACAUCGACAAACUCACAAUUAAUUCGAUAAAAAAAUUUUUUAUUCUUUCUCUCUCUCUCUCUCUCUCUCUCUCUCUCUCUCUCUCUCUCUCUCUCUCUCGCGAUAGUCAUCCAAAAACUAUUUGAGAAUCCAUGAUUCCGAGUAACUUUCAAUUUUUAUGACAAACAAAAUUUUUUUCUAAUCGCUUUAAUAGAAAACUAUAUGUGAUAAAUUCACUGUUGACUCUAUAUAAAUUAUCGUGAUUUAAUCACCGGUAAAAUAAUAAUAAUGUAAAUUUUGUCCUUGUCUUUUCUUACGCUUUAUAAUUAGAUUCUAAAAUAAAGAAACAAUCUGGCCAAAGAAUUCGUUAAUGCGCGAAAAAGCAUACGAGCAAUUUCAUUUACGGCAGAAAAUGACGAGUGAACGUUCUACGAGCGCAAGUUAUUUGCACAUACGAGAUUCGAUUCCUGAUACAUGACUAAGGAUCACUUAGUAUGCGAGCUGCGUUUCUCGAAUCGCUGUCAAAACGAUUAGGUAAGAGGACUCGCAAGUCAAAGAAGGAUCUCGCGAGAAACAAGGGAGGAGGAAAAGGAGAGAGAGAGAAAGAGAGAGAGAGAGAGAGAGAGAGAGAGAGAGAGAGAGAGAGAGAGAGAGAGAGAAAAGAAGAAGAAGGGAAUGGCAGUUUCUCUCAUAAGUUGUAUAGUUCUCUCUCUGUUUCUAGUCACGGUAAUGUCCUUUCAUGAAGGCUGCUUUAUCGUUCCGACCACACAGACCAAUUAGACGCGUGUAAAAUCGAGCCCAUACAUUUUCUCAAAGGACCAAAUUUCCUGAUCCCCGGAGCAUCCGGUACGGGACAAAAACUUGUUCGAAUAGUCGAAGCUAUACAUCUGAGGAUGUAUCUUAUAAACUGCGAAACUCAUUUGUCUAUCAAAUCUCAUUAGUUUUUCUACCCAGAAUGGAGCAUAAAAAA
rnacentral:sRNA from 1 species